rnacentral:miRNA from 1 species
UCUGCAAGGUAAAGUGCUGUCCA